UAGAAUGGGUUGGGAAAAGUCACACAUGA
rnacentral:piRNA from 1 species